GGAAAAUAAAAUUAACGUUUCACGUUCUUUUGUCUAGUGUGACAGAGAUCGAGUUUGUAGCAUGCCGCUUUCGAGAAGUAAAUUAUUAUCAUAUGUGGAAGACAGCAUGAACACACUAGUAUAAGAGUGAGAUUAGUAGACACAGUGGGUGCUUUUGGAGAAUGUGUCGGUGCCCACAAUUAUCCUUAGUUUGCAUGUCCUUUCAAUAUCCACGCUCUCUCUUAGUGGACGAUAUUUUGGAAACCUACCACACAAAAAUUUCUAUAUAUACCCACUUUCUCUUGCAUUCUACACAUAAGCUAGCGGGACUCAAGUAGCUAGAACCACUCCCAUGGCUCCCCAAAAGAUUGGUAGCGUUAUUUUCUUUGUGAUAUUGAGUUUAGGCAUUUGUUCUGCCACUAGAGCCCUCUUCACUAGUGAAGAAUUAUUAGGAGGCAGGAUUAAUGUUGCUAUAGGGGGGGUUGGUGGUGGUAGUGGACAAGGCGGUGGUGCCGGAUAUGGAACUUCUGGUGGAGGACAUGGCGGGGGUGGAGGUGGAGGUAGCGGUGGUGGCGGUGGUGCUGCUGCUGGGGGUGCUGGGUAUGGAAGUGGGGCGGGUGAAGAGGAGGUGCAGGGUAUGCUGCUGGUGNNNNNNNNNNNNNNNNNNNNNNNNNNNNNNNNNNNNNNNNNNNNNNNNNNNNNNNNNNNNNNNNNNNNNNNNNNNNNNNNNNNNNNNNNNNNNNNNNNNNNNNNNNNNNNNNNNNNNNNNNNNNNNNNNNNNNNNNNNNNNNNNNNNNNNNNNNNNNNNNNNNNNNNNNNNNNNNNNNNNNNNNNNNNNNNNNNNNNNNNNNNNNNNNNNNNNNNNNNNNNNNNNNNNNNNNNNNNNNNNNNNNNNNNNNNNNNNNNNNNNNNNNNNNNNNNNNNNNNNNNNNNNNNNNNNNNNNNNNNNNNNNNNNNNNNNNNNNNNNNNNNNNNNNNNNNNNNNNNNNNNNNNNNNNNNNNNNNNNNNNNNNNNNNNNNNNNNNNNNNNNNNNNNNNNNNNNNNNNNNNNNNNNNNNNNNNNNNNNNNNNNNNNNNNNNNNNNNNNNNNNNNNNNNNNNNNNNNNNNNNNNNNNNNNNNNNNNNNNNNNNNNNNNNNNNNNNNNNNNNNNNNNNNNNNNNNNNNNNNNNNNNNNNNNNNNNNNNNNNNNNNNNNNNNNNNNNNNNNNNNNNNNNNNNNNNNNNNNNNNNNNNNNNNNNNNNNNNNNNCUUCUUUUUACCAAUAAGUAUUAUGAAAAAUAAAUUUGACUGCGGUAAGAAGAUGGGUUAUAUUAUAAAUACAACGAAUGUAAAAAAGCCAAAGGCAAGCUAUCCGAGUCUGUAUCAAUUGAAACAGAUCGAAUGCUAUAAUUGCAUUAGUUCAUAAAUGGACAUGCAAUAUUGAUCGUCCAUAUUAAUAUGGAUAUGAAAAUUGCUUUUCUCAAUGAGAUUUUAGUCUUUGUAGAAUAACUUUAAAAAGGCUAGGAUAAGACCUCAGCAUUGCUCAAGUCCAGAAGAUUAUGUCAUUGCUUAAGUCCAGAAGAUUAUGUAUGAAAUUUUAUAACAAGAAGCAUGGAGAGCAAAUUCAUAUUACAUCAGAAAAUCUUGGGAGAAUACACACUUGCCAAACAAAAGUUGAUUAAUUUGAUAGCUUGACUCAAGUGAAAACAAAUAAAACCCAUGGCCAAGUUACUCCCCCAAGGAGUUAUUGCAUCUCUAUAUAAGCUCAUCAGCCUCUCCUCUUCUGCCAAUAUCUUUCUUUGUUUCUGCAUUCCUUCCCUUGUUGAUCAAGAUCAUGGCACGUCCUUCCGAUCUUGAUCCUCGGGGUCUUGAUGAAGAUCUUGUGCUCGUUUCUUAAGAAUUCCCUUCAAGUGGUCACAGAUCAUCAGCUGCGGAGUCGGUAGCAAAGAGGCCGGUGACUCUCCAACGGCGCUGUCACUAUCUAUCAUGGGCCGUCCCUUUAUCAUAUCAACUUCCCCCUCUUCGUUCAUCAUCACCAUGUUACAUGGAAGCUUCCCGGCGUAAAAUUUUCUAUCAUUCUUUUGAUGCCUGUACAGAGAGAUCCCAUUAAAGUACUAGCUAAAAUUUGACAAAUAGUAUAUACUGACCAAAGUUUCAUUUUGAUUAACUAUCUUAUCAGUCGUUUUGAUUCUCAUACUUUGAGAUGUAUGCCUAGCAAGGACGUAACCUAACUUGUAUUAAGAUUUUUUGUUACAAUUGGUUCUUUAUGGACGAAAAUUUGUCUAAAUAACAAAGUAGUCUUUCCGGUAAAAGUGUGUCCGAAGGAAAACCCUAGCUUUUGUUAAUCCUAACCCAUCACCUUCUAUGAAAAUCUUAACAGAAGUUAGGCUCCAUCCUUAUUGGACAUACUUCUCAAAAUCUGAAGAACUAAAUAACUGAAUAAUGUCGAAAUCUUUCACUGUAAUGCAUGGUAUACCUAUCGAAGACCACCCAUGUCGCAUGAAGGGUUGUAAUUUGCUCAACAACCAGCAGCCGUGAGGGAUAACCCAUUAUAACUUUCUUCUGGGGAAAAACCUGCAAUUAACAUUCCAUACACAUGCAGAAUGUUAGACGAGCAUAAGUAUAUAUAUAUAUAUAUAUAGAGCUCCAUCGUUAACUAUACCCCAUAUUUGUUGCAAAGGUCCACCACUUUUUGAAGCUUUAGAUAUUUGAGGUCGCUUUUCCACUCAUUUUUCUCUUUGACAAAUGACAAUUCUUCUAGUCCCACCGGCCAAACAUCCAGCCAUGUCUUGGAAGAGACUGCACAUUUACAAUCACCACCCAAGUAUUCCAUUUUAUAUACGAAGCAAAACCUUGUUUGGAUUAAAGUAAAUAGCCAGCUAUAGAAGCAUGACAUGUAAAUAAAAUCAAGGAAAAUUCUAGAGAACUUCGUCUUUUUAUGUCAUUUGUGUGUAAUUCCAUGAAAUAUUGAAUAAUCAAUUGUAAAUUAACACAUCAACACCUACACUAUGUGGUCUAAUUAAAAAUCCAAUACCCUUAAGCUUUUGGGGUGGCCGAAGUACUAGAGAGGGUGAGUAGGGAAAUGAGUUAGGAUUAGGCUAGGUCAAUGGUUCGAUUUCCUUCCACUAUAUAGCGUUAGGCGAUUUUUGUGGUGCAGGCUUGUUUUAUUACGUACUCAACUAGAAUUAAAAGCUCAAGAUUGCCAUGCAUUUAGAUCACUCAUAUGCAUAUACUAAAGAUUAAUGGAUUGAGGAUACUAGAAUCACAGUACUCACGGGGAAUAUUAAGCCAUGGCAUGACACCAAGAAGAGUGACAGUAGAGCCAGCGUUGAUUACAUUCUCAAGGGCCCAUUCAAGCGGCUCCGUCGUGAACUCUUUCAUCCCAUCCAUGACGAUGAGCACAUGUUUUGUAAUGUUCAUCGACUCUGAUGACCCGUUCGGCAUACGAUAUGUUGCCAGUGCUCUGUUGUUCCAGCUGACAACCGAUUGUCGCAUUAUUAUUUUCUUCUUCUUCCCUCCUCUUUUGAAGAAAACAACCAUAUUAUGUAAAAGUUAACAAUUUUUUUAAAACUUUACUAAGCCGGCUUAGUUCUUGUGCCAAUCUUCAACAUAGAGAGAAGAAAAAAAAAAAUUGAUCAAGUACCGAAAUCGGAAUUGUUACAAGGGCUCAACAUUUCUUAAAUAGAUCCCAACUUUGUCAUGAGGGAAAAACUAAACUCAGGGAUUGAUCAAACCGAGGAGUGUACAUAGUUAUAGUACUUUGACACAAACAAAGAUACGUUGGCAAUCUACUGUCAUGCCUAGGAGUAUAGGAUUUCACAAAUUUUGGUUUUCCCUAGAUUAAUAUAAGAUGCUCAUUCCUAAAUCUUAUCUCCAACCUCUAACCUAAUUGACUAAUUGAUGAGCCGGGGCCUAUUGUUACUAGGAAGUUGUAGGCUCACCAACAAUUAUUAUAGUGAUCAUGUCAAAGUCUUUGUCCUGUUCUUUUUCAUGUUUCGAGCAUACGCAUGUGUCUUCUCCUUUGUGGAUUUUAUGUUGGAUACCGAUGACAACUUUCAUUGGUUGGCCAAAGCACCAAUAGUUUUCUUUUCUUAUCCAAAUUGCAACAUUACUCCAAGAGAAGUAACGUCAAGCCCAGUUAUCUAGUUUUUUUCUUCUUCUUGUUUUGCAUACUCAACCUAAGCAUUUUGUAUUAGUAAUAAUGCUACAAAGCACUAUAUUUUGUUUUAGAAAUUGCACCCGAAUUAACGAGUGCAGAUGACAACUUUUUUGGUGUGUUAAUAACAGCUCCCUAGUUUAAAGGGUUAGUAUUAAGGCUUUAUGGGUGAAACAAGAAAUCAAUAUAAUCGAUGCUAAGAAGCUAGAACUGGUGUGUAUGAUUGGCAUGAAAAUGGGUAUGUAACACAAGCAGAUUCAUUUCACAUGCUGGUGGUAUAUGACUACAAAAGUGUUUUCUGCUUCUUUUAUUAGAAAACUUGAGCACAUAUCGAGAGUUGUUUUUGACCUUCUUUAAACAACAAUAAUAAGAGUGCUAGUAUAAUACUGCAAUAGCAAAAUUAGUUACGUUUACAUUCUCUAAGACCAAACCUUUGUGUGUAAGCAUUAAAGUGGUUUGGAGUCCAAUAAUGGUGAGUGUCGAGUUCACAUGCCGUUCAAGAAUGAACAAGUUACCUUAUGGAAAAUCAUUCCCUCCUUCCCUCCUUCCCUCCUUCCCUUGUAAGUAGAAACUCCUACAUUCCUACCAAUAACAAUAUGAUAUGUGUAGAAGUUUUUCUUUUUGUGUUUGUAGACAUAGAAAUUUUAGUGAAUUAAAAAUUCACUAAUUUACUUUCAAUAGUCAAAAUUCAAAAUUUGGCUAGUCAAAGAUAACUAGAAAAUAUGUGGAUCCCACACAAAUACACGUGGCACAUGACUCACGCAGACAAAGGUGUGCACCGGAGAUGACACAUGUUAGCAUCUAAGAGCUUCAUCAAUCCAAUGAAAUCAUAUGCCAAAAAGGAAUAAAUUAUCCUUAUUUGGUCAUCUUCCUAAAUCACGAGUUAAUUUCCCUAAAUGAAAGAUUUUGACGUAAUUAACAUCUAAAGUAAAUCAAUUAGCUCAAAUUAAAUCAAAUUAGAAAUCAAUCCCACAAAUCAAGGGAUUCAGAUUGGGGAUUCCAAACCAAGACCCAAUUCUUUUCCUAUAAAUACUAGGCUCAUAUUCGCGAGAAAGGACCUUCACCUCACUUUGUUUCAUUUUGGCUCAAUUUGGGAGUUUUUGUUUGAUUUGGGUUUAAUCGAGCCCAGUCAACCGGCCCACUCUGAUACCAUGUUAAAACUUCAGAGGGACGAACUUUUGGCCCAUCACUAACAAUAUUGAUAUUGUCCCCAACUUAACCACCUGUUUAGCAGGUGUAUGGUUUGUACAAAAAUUCUCAAUGUUAUUAGAAGUGAAACCAUUUAUUAUAUGGAACUUUCUAUUUUGUUAAGUUUCCGAUGCGGGACUCGUGUUCUUGUCUCAUUUGUCGCAAGAUUUUCGUUUUUACAGUGUUCUUGAUGAAUUAUUUUUGCACAUGUGUCAAACUGUGAUUUGCAAGCCCGAUGUCAAAGUUUCAAUGGCUAUCCAAGUCAUGAUUGCCUUUAGGAAAGGUAAGUGGUUAGUUCCAUACAUGUUACUUAUGUCAUCCCUCUUAUUCUUUGAGAUUUCUUGUGAGAUUUCUAUGCGUUUGAAUCUGUAUCUCCUCCAUACACUUAGGGUUCCGUUUGAAUAUAUUCAAUUCUCCAAACCUCCAAUCAUAUUCACAUUGUGACUUGGAAACAAGUGGUUGGUGAACUUCUGCCUCAAGGCUAUUGAUAAACAUGGCUUAGUUUCGUGCCGCCAUUGAGAAGAUGAGGGGAUCAAGUCUGCAGGUGGAUAAGUAGCAAGAGUGUGGACUAGGUCCUGCAAUAUUUUGAUUGAUUGAUUUCUAGUUUUUUGAAACCCAAUAUGAAACUUGUGAUUAGUUGGUAAAUUGAUGAAAUUAGAGGUCAAUAUAAUUGUUUAUUUGAUAGAUAGUAGAUAGCUUUUGGCCCCUUUUAAGGAAAUCCUCUCACUGAAUAAAACAAAAGAAAAUUGGAUUGCUAGCUUUCUAUUCAUGUGACCCAAGAAUUUCGCUAUUUUGAUUUUGCUAGUGCUUGGUAUGGCAUGGCAACAGAUAAUUCAGAAUCUAAAUAGGUCCAGUCCAGGGGCAAAUCAAUAGGAAAUGCUAUUUGCUUUGUAAGAAUAAGAAUAAACUUCAAUGAAAUGAAAGAGUUUCGUAGGGAUUGUCUUAAUCAUCAGAUAUCAUUGAGAAAUAACAAGUGUUAUCGAACGAUUUCUUACAAUUCUUCCCAGUAUGGAACCGAUAACAGAAAAUGUUGCAAGGUCACUCGUGCAAGCAAAACCAUAUAUACUCCAAAAGAGGUUGUCGCAAUUGAAACAGUAAUUCAUUCCACAAGUAAGCAGAAAAAUUUUUGGCAAAAGAAAUAAAAAGAUGCCAGAUAAAAUAUAUGAACAAACUCCUCUUCUAUUUUUCUGUUCAAAUGAAAUAUUUGAACAAGCUCAUCUUUUACAUUUGCGGCUGAGCUAGAGAAAGCUUUAGCAAGCAGAAACCUGGAACAGCUCACCGUAAUGCCGCCGCCACAGGACGCAUAGAUUUAUGACUACCACCAGGAGGGCUGACCUUUUUGCAUGGUGAUGAUCCCACUCUCUUCCUUCUCUUGUUCGAAGAACCUUCACUUUGAGGCCCGACCAUGGCAGCAAGAAGUUGGCUUCCCCUGUCCCUUGUCAAACUCUUUUUUGAAAGAUAUCUGAAAGCUUCAAUUCUCUUUGAAUCAUCUACAUCAUUGUUGGAAGGUCUUUUACAGAGCGCAUUGUCUGCUGACUUCAAAUGAUCACUUCGAAUAAUAUUGUUCAAUGAUCUUUUGCAGGCCACAUUGUCCACUGACUUGGAAUGAUCGCGCGGAAGACAAUAUAUUGGCUCUGAAAAAUUCAAUUCGACCUCAUUAAGUUAGUUGCAUUCAUAAAUUUCAAGGGAAAGGUAAUAAAAUCUUUUGAUCAGAGUGUAUUUGCUUACCUGGAGACUCAAAAGAAGGCAGAUCAGGACUAGGAGAUCUGGGUGGUGUCAUAGGAUGGAGAUAAACUUUAGGAGACCUUUUAUGGCACCUAUUUCCACCAAGAGACGAUGUACUACAUAUAUUCUCAUUGUUGUGUGAUUUUCCAUCAAAGGAGUUACUUGCCCUCCCUGGAGUUGAAGCAUCAAUCACAGCAGCACUAUCUUUAGUCUCCUUGGAACAACCAUCGGCUGCAUCUCUAGUGUCAAUGACCUCAACCUCUUCACAUCUUGCUCGAGGCAACGAAAGAGUAAUUCUCUCAUGAGCAUCUCCGGGUUCAUUGGCAACACAACAAUCAACAUUGUUUACACUAGGAGAUAAAAUACUGACACUCUCGACAUUCUCUAGGACUGACUUAGGUGAUGUAUUCGUCAUAGCUGGAUCCAAGCAUGGCUUUAGUGAUUCCACUAUGCUAGAAAACCAAGGAGUACCCUGCCUUGCAUAGAACAGAAUGUAGGCCUCCUGUGACAGAACAAAUUCUUCUUGAACCCUAGUGACCUACAAAAAUAACAGUGGAACUUUUAGUGUAAAUCUUAAUACUACUAUAUUUGAGGGUAAAACCUGAUGGAAACAAUCCAAUUACCAUAGAUCAUCAUUACCGUUUAUUGCAUGUAAACAUACAACAAGAACAAAGAUCAUAUCAUAAAGAUCGUUUAUACAAAAACAAAUGAAAGAAGCCAUGAAUGGCAAGACAAUCACUUCCACACACCAGCUUCACAAGAAUUACAAAGUCAUGCAGAUAAAACAGUUACAAUGAAUUGUUUAUUACGGAAUGCAUAAAGAAAAUAAUUACCUUUGAGUCAUCCAACCUAUGCCAUGUAUCUGGAGAUGACCGAAUGAAGCAAAAGUAAUGUCCAGAAGUAGAUGAGAACCCAACAUGCUCCACAAUUGCAUAAAGUUCAUACUUCAAUUCCACCUAUUGCCAAGAAACAGGAAAUUAGAACUAGAGAGACCACACCAUUCUUUUUCUUGAUUAAAAUUGGAGGGAAUCGAAUCUUGGAUCUACCCUAAUCCUAACCCAUUACCCCACCAUUUACAGAUAACCCCCAAGGGCUUGAGAAACAACAGCCAUUUAAACAUAGCUAAAACACAAACAUGACAUUCAGCUAACCUUCAUUUUUAGAUCAUUUAACCAUUAUCAUGUGUUAAAAAAACCUUGCAUUUCUUAUAAGUUAUAACUGAUACCAAUUUGAUUAUGAAGAAACUAAAGGCAGCAAUCACAUUACUGUUGGUCCCACUGGUUGACUAAUAGUCCAAAUCCGAAGGAAAAUCAACAUAUUCUGUGUAAAAAAUAAUUAUAAUAAUAAUAAGCAGCAACUCACAUUAUUGUCACUGCCACUGGUGUAGGGCUUCAAGUCCAACUCCAAAGGAAAUUCUACAUGUUUUUCAAUCUUCUCAACAUGAGAUCCAUCAGUCUUAAAUCUCUUCAGAUGAAAUGCAGCAACUGGAGGGGCCUGGUCCACCACAAGCUGCUUCUCCACUGAUACUUCUUCCUUGCAGUUCUCACAUGUAAACUUUGUCUCCAAGUCAUUGAUAGUUUCUAUCUUAGUGAAGGACUCCAGGGCCCUUUGGAGAGUCUCUGCAUCUUCAAUCUCCAAACUCAGAUCAAUCAGAGGUUCGUAAGUGUCAGAACAGUGACCACAAUUGCAACAUCGAAGCUGAAAGUAAUUCAUACACACAAAAAUCAAUAAGAAUUAUAAUAAAAUAUUGAUUUUCCAUCAAAUUUAACCAUAGCAGAAUGAAUCAUGGCAAUCAGAUAUGGAGUCAUACUUUGCUUAGGAGACGACCACCAAAAACCCUUUCCACAAGAUUAUGGUCUUGGGCAGAUGGACUCUCCUUUUCCAACGAAUCCAAACAAGAUUUCUCAAGUUUGUCUAAGAAGCAUUGCAAGAACUCAUGGGCAUCUUCUUGCUGGUAUCUUUGGAAGAAAGAUGAGAAAUCUAGUAGCAUGAGGGUUAAGAAUCACAUUCGGAUGUAAACUUCUCAGGGUAAAACUACAGAAUUUUCAAAGCUUCAGGUAGAAUUACAUAUUUCACAACAAAAAUUAGUGCAACUGCUCAAUCAAAAUCAAUCACUUGUAGGGGCUUCAUAAGUUACUCUCUUUUUUUCAUUCAAAACAAAGAAAAGAACAAUCACAAUCACAAUUUUAUGCCCAGAAAUCUCAACACGUAUGAUCAAAAGGAUACGAUUCAAAUUGUCGACAAGUUUCCAUGGUGAAAUAACUCUUCCUGAAGAGGCUACUGAAAGAUCAACAUGGUCGUGAAGAGCACAAAGAACACAGAAUCCUUCACUACCACCUACACAAUCCCAAUUUCAGAUUUUAAAUUAGUACAUUUAUUAAGAAAUCAGCAAAACUAACUAGCUGCAUAAAGCUUCCAACAAUUAAGAAAAAUAUCAGAUAAGAACAUAAAGCAAACGCAAUAGAAACCAAGGCCUUACGAUCACAGGGCAUGGAAUGACUGCAAGAAUGAAGACCCUCCACGAGUGGCACAGUGUGCGUGAAGCAUUGCAGAAUUGCAUUCAUAAAGCAUGUGUUGCCUAGAUUUGCAAGCCCUGCACCCUGCAACACCAAAACGACAACAAAACUUAACAUCCCAAAAUUACUUAGACUAAAAUUAAACGCAAAAUGAAUAAUAAUUAUAAUUUUUAAUGUAAAAUAAAUGCAAAGUUUCAAACAGGUUCAAAGCAAAGGGGCAUACCACCAUAGAGGGCUUUGUUUCACAUAUUGAAAACUGGGAAUCCGAGGAAAUCACUGAUUCCUUGGUAGAAUUCGACGACCACCGAGAAGACCAAGAAGGUGCGGAAGACGACCACCGCGAUAGUCCUGAAGACUCCGAAUGUGGAUCCGAUUCAUAAUUUGAUAAAUCGUUACCAACAAUUUUGAGAGGCGAAGGCGGUGAUGGUUCAUCUUCUUGGCCUUCUUCAACAGAUGGUGAAGACCCAGUUGGGUUUGGCAAAGAAGAAUCCGAAGCCAUAUCGUCUAGGGCUUUGAGAGGUGAAGAUGGCGAAGACCCAUUUGCAUUUUCUGCGAUAGAAACCAAAGCAUGGUCAUCUACGGCUUCCUUUUGUGAAAAUGGCGAAGACCCAUCUAGGGUUUCUGCAAGAGCAGGCAUUAAAGCUGGAGAGGUUGAAUUUCCCACUUGGGUCUUCGUGAGAAGUGAGUCUGGAGGCAAAAGGUUGGCUUCUGAGAGAUGAAUUUUCCACUGAAGCUCUUGAGAUUCUAGAAAUGGGCUUUUCAACGAACUGAAAAUUGAAUCUGAAAUUGGAAUUUGGGGUUGGCUCCACGAAUUAGGAGGGAAAUGGGGAUUUGGGUUUUGAGAAUUUUGCUUUUAAAAUAUUUUUGGGGGUUUCGGGAAGUUGAAGCUGUCGGUUGAAAGGAGGGAAAGGCGAAAAAAAGUGUUUCGAAAAUUUUUGGGUUUUGGAAAAGGAGGGAAAACUCCAAAGUCUCCUCCAAUUUGGUACCAAAGUUCAGAAAAGAGAGGGAAGAGAGAGACGGGAAAGAUGUCGUUUUUCUUUAUUUUCAGAAGUUUCAUGUGUUUUUUUUUUCUUGGUUGAAAAAAGAAGUUGCAUGUUAUGUUAGUGUAGUGAAAUAUGGGUGAGGAAAAUUACAAUUAAUUGGUAACAAAGGGGCUCAUUUGUAGGAUUUCGUAAGUUUUGAUAUCCGUUUGUAGGGUCUUACAAGUUCAUGUAUGAAUUUGAAAUGAUACCCAAAAUUUGGUGUUUUAUGUAAUUGAUCUUAGAAUAUAUUAGGAAAUAAAGAUAUUUAUUAAAUGAGAGUAAUAUAGUAAAUUAAUAGUUUUUAAUAUUAAAAAGAUAUAUAAAAUAAAAUAAAAAAGGAGAACAUGGGUCCUAUUUUCAUGGACACAAAUAGACCCAUUUUCUCUUUUUUAAUUUUAAAUUAAAACAAUAAGAAUAAAUAAUAAAUAAACGCAAUUGGCACUCUUGAGCAUGUGCUCAAGAGCUAGUAUGUGUAUUAUUUUUUAUUAUUUUUAGAAUAGCUAGAAUGUGUAUUAAACAUGGCGAUUUUAAAAUAUAUAUAUAUAUAUGUCGCCAUAUUUUUUUGAAGUGCAUGGAAAAAUGAAGUAUUUUUUUAGCAAUACAUACAUCUAUCUAUCUAUCUAUCUAUAUAUAUAAAGCAAAAGGCAGAGAAUGGUGAAACAUUCAAAAUACCAAAAAAUGCCCUUGGUUAAUGCAAACAUUAAGAAUUGAAAUUAUUAAUUAAAUGAGGAUAAUAUGGUAAAUUCACAAUUUUUUGUAUUAAAAAAUUAAAAUUAAAAGAAAAUUCAGAUAAUGGGUCCUAUUUUUAUGGAACACAAAUAUCCAUUAUUUUUUUUAAUUCUAAAAUAAAUUAAAAUUUUUAUAAAAAAAAACCUCUCGCAUGCGCGGAAGCGCGUGCAAAGAAGCUAGUACGUUUAUAAUACAUGAAUUCACUAAAUACCUUUUCCGAAAGAUGGAAAAAAUCUCUAGGCAUGUUUGGGAAUGUUUCUACAGAAAAUGUUAUAGUCAUAACCACUUUUAUUUUCUUUUCUUUUUUUUUGGUUUGGCACUUUUACUAUAAGCAUAUCCUUUAUUAAAAUAAAAAAUCUAAGCUCUUCUUUUUUUAAUUUUUUGGUCCGAAAAAAUCCAAGCUCUUCUAUAACUUACUUGAAGUUUACAUUCCCGAAGAUGAAAAUGCAGAAAUUUGUUGUGACCCCCAUUGUGGAUUGACAAUCACAUAUGCAUCUCUAAAAAUUAUUGCAAAAGCUGGCCUAAGGAAUUUUGAGAAUCAAUGUUAAUUGACUAUAUCUAUCAAAUUGUAUUGGAUUGAAUGAUUUUAACAACAUGAAAAUGAACAAGUGAUCAAAAUCUCAAGGACAAAUCAAAGUUUUAACAGAAUACAGUAUCCUUUGCCUUGCUCUCUUGACACAAAGCAGUAAUGUUAUGGUGGUUUACAGAAACAAGAACGCAUAUGAUCAAAUCUCAGAACAGUACCUGUGCUACAAAAUAAAACACCAGCCACUCUUCUUAAGCCUGGAGAAUUUUGAUAAGUCUUAUUUGUCUUUAAAAAAAAUUUAUGAACUCUUCUUUACAAUCACUACAUAUGAUAAUGGCUGGUGUACUUUAACAAAUAAAGACAACGCAUAUCAACAUUAGAGGAUUCUGUCCUGAAGAUCCGUCAUUAAAUUGGAUGCCAAGGAGCUAAGCUUCUUCCCGGUCUCUCCAGCAAUGUUUUUUAGGGAAGAGAUAUCCUGUUGUGCCUGGAAAGGAGAAUACACAAAGAUUAAACCGAAAUUAGUUAAACAAAAGGCUGGAAACUCAAAAAGGAAAAGAAGACUAAUUUCUGAUCAGACAUGGCCAAAAUAUGAUAAACAUAUGACAAAAAAAUUGAAUUCCAAUGACUCAAAAACAACUGGAAAUUUCUUAUAUGCAAGGCAUACCUGAAAAGACAGUCGGUUGAUAAGGUCACUUGCCGUAAGAUCAAGGGGCAAAUUAUCAUCCCUGUCGCCAAAUAGAUCAGCACUUGAGAUGGCAGCGGAACCCUGGAAGUAGCAAGAAAUUUGUGUUAGUUUUUUUUUUUUUUUUUUUUUUUUUUGGUGUGGGGUCAAAGUUUCACAUUUGAGUCUAAUAACUUCAAGCACCCACCACGCUUCAGCUGAGAUAGUUUAAUGAAAGUGAAAGAAAAAAAACGAAGCAGCUGAGAUAGUUUAAUGACAGUCGAAGAAAAAAAACGAAGCAGCAUUCGUGUUCCCAAGUUAUCAUGGUAAUGUCCGGAAUCAGAAAACUACAAACACAAUUGUAUGAACUGAUUUGUAUGCCAAAGAUGUGUUGAUGUUGCAAAAGACAAUUAUCUUUGAUUUUAAUUAUUUCCUCGGCAUAUACUCCGACAAAUAUGAGGUCUAGCUGAAUGAAAGCUACAGGGCAGGACUUCAAUAAAUAAAAAAUACUAAAGACAAAAGGGAAUUCAAAUUCAAAAGAAAUUCCCAGUUGAACUGGGUUUAGUUGAUUAUGAUAGUAAUGAUACAUACCGAGAACUUCUGCAAGGAGGCUUGAGCAUCAACAUCAGCAGAUUUGUUCUGAUCACCAAAAAAUUGUGCGGAAGAGAUAGAUUUUGCAUUUGUGAAUUUCUUCCUUGCUUCAUCAGUUUCCUGAAUCUGAAAAACAAUAAAACAUCAAUAUAAAGAAACACACACAAAAUAACAUGAACAGAAAUGCAAACUGGUUAUCAGUGUGCUGAACCAUGACAUAAAGCAACUCUGUUAUAUGUCACAAGUUGGUGUCUCCAUCAGCCAAUAUGCAAGUGCAAAAAGACAAUUGCAAAAAUAACCAAAAGAGCAAACACUAUAAGACAGAUUUUUUAGAUUGAGGAAACCACCAGCAGCAUACGUCUUCCGAAAACGGGCUAAACAUUCCCACAGUAUCCAUCAGGACUGGAUAUCAUGCAUGAGAAGGAUAGUACAUUCCCAUUGUCAUAAUGAUUCUUUAAAUAACGCUACCAUUUGAUAAAAUAAGGCCCCACUAUUUGAUAAAACAAGGCCUUACCAUUUGAGGCAUAUGGUCAUUGCCACUUAAAAACAACAUAAAAUUGGAAUGGAGCAAACGAAAGUACUCCUCGCCAAGCAUACAUGAACCAUUUAAAGGAUAAUGUAACUCACUCAACAAUCUCAUGUUCUUUUGUUUAUUUUUUAAGACAAUAAUCUGCCUAUUAGAUUACGAUUAUAAAAACUUCAAAUUGUAGUGACUGCCUGAAAAGGAAUGUUUUUACUCCAGAACUUAGAUAACCAAAUACAUGUAAUACGUUAGGAUGCUUUCUCACCCAUGGGGGAAAAUUUGCCUACUCGUUUACUUCUGAGUAGAAUUUCUGGACCUUACAGAUUUUAGGAAUAUGAAAACUGUUACACAAUACAAAAACUCCAUUUGGUUGCUUCCCAUAUUACUAAUAUCAAGCAAACGGACUUGAGCCUCUUUAGGAUAAACAUAAAGCAUUUCAAUUAAUUAGUGGUGACCUUAAAAACAAUGAAUGGCCGGAAAAUAAAGAAAAAGAACAAACACUCAGAAACUACAAAUGUGUAAAUUACUCCUUUUAAUGAACAUACAGGAAGCAAAAACAUCACUUCAAUUAAUUAGUGGUGACCUUAAAAGUUGAAUUUCACUGAACAAUGUUGAAUUAAAUGCUGGAGUAAUAACUAUCCAGACAGUUCAGGGGCAAGUUUGAAAAGUUCAGAGGCAAGUAUUAACAAAUUUCUUUAAAAAAUAUUUUCUAUGAUAUACGAGCAGAUUUGUUAUAGACACAGCCCCAAUUUCACAAAGUUUUGGUAAAUGAUUCCUUCCUCAUCCAUAUCAACCUGCAGUAUAACUACAGAGAAGAACGAUAUAUUCAUCCUCAUCUAGGAAUUGAGGUGUUCUGAGUUUGAUUAGAAACUUAAAAAUGCAUUACCCUUGUGACAUCAAUGGAGGCUUUUGCAAAUACAAUUAAAACAUUAAUAGUAAAAUAAAACUAAACAGUAAAACUAUGAAAAACAAACAAGUAGACAGUUUUCACCCCACCAUUAUUUAAACUGUAGCAGCUUUUUAUUUCCUUCUAAACUCAGUUUUGUACUUUACUAUGUUCCCCUCUUUAGAUAAAUUUGUUUGUUUGAACCGUUUCUUAUAGCAAAAGGGAUUUCAGGGUCUUCAAAACUUAAACAAAAACCUGAAGCUUGUCCCUUUUAUGAUACAAUAGAUUUCAUGUCUGACCAUUGUUUCUCAUCAUAGUAAUACAGUGUCUAUUUUCUUCUUUCUUCUUUCUUCCUUGACCAGAUGAUAGGAAAAGCUUAGCCUUUUUGGUUCUCUUAAAUUUGUCACCCUAACACUUCUAAAUCAUGUCAAGCCUUAAAUCCUGGUGUGAAAAGUGCAAUAUAGAUUAGGGAAUUGGAGCCUUAAUUUUUUUCACAUUGUAGCAGGUCCUAAAUUAACGAUUUAUUUCUAAAGAACUAAUAUUUAUUAGUGGGCAAGUAACAAGAAACAUAAAAAACAAAUUAGUUCCCUUGGGAAAACUACUUAUAUGUGAAUGUCAUUGGUCGAAUAUAACUUACUUGAACUUUGGAGGAAUUUGAACUAGUUCUCUUGGGAAAAUUACUGUCCAUUCCAAAAUCCGCAAAGAAAUUUGACGACUUUGGUGGAGCAAUAUGACUAAUUACAUGAGCGCCAUUGGGAUUCGUCUCAGGAUUUUGGAUAAUUUCUACAUACUCAAAACGAGACACAAAGGACGAGCCAGCUGUUGUUGGAGUGCUGUUAGUUGAGGAAGGCACUGGUAUAACAGGUUCUUCAGGUUUCUGAUCGUACAGGCUUUCACUUGACUGCAUUUGAUAAAAGUUAUCUCGCUAAGAAAAAGGCAUUUUCCCUAAAAAUAUAAUAAAAUAGGAAACAGAACUCAAAGAUACCAUUGCUGAUAAAUAAUUUAUUCUAAGCGAUAAUAAGAAAUCACAACCUUUGUAGUAAGUUUGCGAGCACCAAGCCCCCCAGUCUUCCCAGUUUUCUUAGCACCAAGAGGCUUCUUGACAGUACUGGUAACAAAUGUAUGGGGGGCUUUCGGGGGAGCAGAGACUUCAGGGGUUUCUUUCCUUGCUAAAGAUGUUUCUUUUGGAGCUUCACUGGUCUUGACAUCAGGAAGCCCGUUAGAUGCUUGUCCUGACUGAGAUGCAACAGGUGAUGACGGAAGACCUGCCUCUUCUGCCAUACUUUUGGCAACUUCUUUAGAAAGCAUCUGCCUGUAUAAAUCGGCAGCUCUUGAUGUAUAUUUUGCCUCAAUUUUGCCUCCAUCCGUCCAUCCAUGCUGCUUAAAGAAAACCUGUGCGCGGUUGUUUCCACCGAAGCUCAUCGUUUUAAGCUGUUCAGGAGUCCAUGAGUCUAAAUUUGUGGAUCUGCACAAAUUAAACAAAUCAAUUAUAAGAUUGUCAUUGUCGCGAUUUUGCUUUUGCAGUUAUUUCUAAAGAUUAAACCCAAAUGUGAAUUUCAAAUAGGAUGCAUUAUUAAAUCUAAAUGAUCUGACAAUCAUAUUCAACUCAACCUUUGAAAAAUACACAUGAUUUUACUUGUACAAUCCAUUAAAAAACAAAUUAUUUAUCAAGAAAGUAUCUUUUAUGUAAACUUAGAAUCAUUACAUGGAGAAUAAAUCUAGGUCCAAUUUCAUUACAUGGAGAAGUGAAAUCUGAAUUCAAACUAUCAUAUCCACCCCUGAUGCUAAAAUAAUCUCAACAAUCGAAGGUGGGGAAAGAUGACGGGGGAUGGAGGGGAGGGCCAAGGGGUGUGGAGACAGGAAGAUUCUGAGUGAGCGGGGGAUUGGGGUAGGGAGGGGGGAGAGUGGAUUGUUUGGGAAGACCACAUUGAGGAGGGGAAAUGGUUGGUAGGCAAGAUCGGGCAGGAGGGGGGUGGGGGAAGGUCGUCAUCUGGAGGAAAGGGAUGUGCUCUGAGAACAUCCUUGGAAAGGGCUCGUCUAGGAAGAUCGGGGAAGGACGAGGGGAAAGUAACAGGAAAGCUUUUCCAUUAAGUGGAAAGUAACAACGAAUAAACGCAUAAGUCAUUAUGGAAAGAACUGCUAAUAAUUUUGAAUCACAUAAAACUAAUGGCUUCAUUGCAGUCGUAUGGGUGCGUGUGUGUGCAACUUCUUAUCUACCUUUGAAGUCUUCCUAAGAAUGCAUGCAACAGUUCCCUUGUUUGCCUUAUAGUUUCAGUUGUACUUCAGAUAUUAAGUUUGGGUCAAAUUGUAGGACUUAUACUCCAUCUAGCUCAAACAGAUACAAAGAACCACAAGAGGUGCUUUCCACAAAUCUCCUUUCUAUUAAAAGAACAAAACAGAUCACGGUUCCUAAAAUAAAGCAUAACCUUUCGCACUUCUGGCCCAAGUUUCUUGCUGCACCCUCCAUCCAAUCCCAUCAAACGUCUAUCUAAUUACCAAAUUCCUAAGAUUUAAUUAAUGAUACAAACUAUGACUCCGAUCCCCAACAUGUAACGUGAUUUCAGUUCCCUCUUAUUUAAAAACAUAACUUUGAGUUCUCGUAACAUAAAUUAGAUUACAUCACAAAAUGCACCAAUAGUUAAAGCAAUAAACAUUCAAUCAUAUGUACUCAAAACAGCUACUCCAACACCCAAAAUAUAACAAAAUACGGAUUGAGAGAAUUAAGGAUCCUUACUGCCACAUGAAACAUACCUAACAAAGCUGAUGUGAACGCCGAGACUGCGGUGAGCGGCCGAGCAAUCGAUGCAGAGAAAGAUCCCAUAUGUAACCGAGGCCCAAGUUGGGUUCUUUGCAUUGCAAUCGAAACACAUCUGGAGCAAAAACCCACAAAACGAAAAUCAAAACUCAAGAUCCAAGCACAGAACACAGAUCUGAAUCAGAUCUAACAGACCCAUAUCGAAUUUUGCAUCAAAAUCAAAAACCCAUAUAAAAGUUUUAAGAAUAACCCAAACAAAAAAGGCAAAAUGAUAUUAAAAAAACAAAAGAACCUUGUUUUCUGACUUUGCUUUCAGUUUUCUGAAAACAGCGUUCUUGUCAUUGAAGAUUUCGGACGCCAUUGGAGAGACAAAUCCUAGAGAAAUUAGCGAGAACAAAUGAAUCCGAAGAGGUGCUUGAACACCUCCUCAGGCAAAAGAGAGAGGUAGAGAUGUGUGGAAAUGAAACCCCAAAUUGAUUUCAGGUUCUGUUUUUUGGUUUUGGUUUUUCGUUUUGUGAAAUUUUAAACGGAACCAUUUUAUUAGCAGUGGGUAUGAUACAAUGUUGUUCAAAUGACGAAACUACCCUUGAGGUUUUAAGGGUAGUUUCGUUGUUGUCCAGUAGUGUAAUUAUUUAUCUGAAUGAAGGGCAAACGUAAUUUGUCAUGUUACGUCCAUGCCUUUUUGGUGGCAACUGGCGGUUUACCAACCGUUAACGGCUGGGCUUAUAUAGAUUGGUCAAUCUGAACCACCCAGUUCCACAUUUCUUCAACCUUGAACUUUUUAUUUUUUUAAUCAUGCUUAAUUUAGUUCAAUCUUUCUAAUUUUAAAAGCCAGAAAAAGAAAAGAGAGAAAAAUCUAUCUUUUAUCUGUUUAUACUGUUUUAUCAAAUACAUAAUCGACAAUCCAUCAGAAAAUAAAAGAGAAACCUUAAUUAUCAGGAAUGGGUGUUGGAAUGAUUAUGAUUUCUUCUUCUCCUGUGUUUACUAAUUAUGAUUUCUUCUUCUCCUGUGUUUACUAACACAUAGGUAUUGGAAUGAUUAUAAUCAUGACUUCCCAUGUGUUUAUGUUACAUAAAGAACUAAAAUUUAUGUGGAUUCCAUGCCAAAAUUUGCAAUCGAAUACCGUCAAAUUAGGAAUAGGAUCAACUAGGAGUGGUUGAUUUGAUUUUUUUUUUUUUUUUUUUUGGUAUGAGUUGAUUUGAUUCUCAUUCCUUGAUUCUGCUAUAUAAGUUCCUAGUGUCAUGACUUCUCUCAUUCCUUAUAAAUAAAUUGGAAAAUAUGAAUAAUAACCUUAAAAGCAUAGUGAAAUUUUGUUAACACCCCUUUAAGCAUAAUAAACCUUAAAAUAUCAAUAUGUUGGAACCAACCCUUUAAUUUUUCCCCUCAAUAUUCCACUUUCACCCCUCAUAAAUAAAAAAUAUUAGAAAAUAAAUAGCUAGCAACCCUCACCGUUUCAAUCCCUACGUAAGCUAUUGACAACCCCUCCACACGGACGGCAUCUAUUCCCUCUUCACACUUCCCAACUAGCAAUAUGAAGGGCAUGUUUACGUAUCAGUAAUAAAGAAAGUAAGGAAUCGGAGAAUUUAGGAAUCGGAAAACUAUUGAAUCAGUAUGGGAAGAAUCAUUCUCAUUAAGCUAUUUACUAAAUAUAUGGAAUUAGUAAAGGAAUAGGGUUGAUUCUCAUUGUUAUUGUUUACUAACUUUAAUGAAUCAGAAUCCAAAUUAAUUUGAUUACUAAAAUGCCCAGCACAUUUUCACCACAACACAUAUAUAAUUCUCAAAUUGGUUAAGGAGACCAAACUAAUCUUGCAGCAAACCAGUGAGGCGGUGUAAACAUGAGGAAUCAAUAUGCUAAACAAGAUAAACAACAGGAGCCCAGUUCAAUGAUAAAGUUAAUAACACCUUUGUCCAGAGCCAAUUUCAAACGAAAAAAUAAACUCCAAUAAAUAUAUAUCUUUCACCUACGUAACUAGUAAACAAUCAAAUAAUAAUACCUGCAUAAUCUUCAUACGAUUAAAUAUAUGGAACUUCUUGGAACUGAGUUUUUAUUUUUUUUAGGGUAGAGCGUCUUGGAACUUUUUGGCGUGAGUUUUUUUUAUUUUUUAUUUUUUAGGGUUUGGGGUGUUUUGGAAUUAUGGUAAGGUUGUAAGGGUAUUUUUGAAAGUUAUUAAGAGAAAACAGGAAUGGGAAUCAAAUCAACUACUCCCCUUAGUUGAUCUAAUACCUUGUUUUGAGAAGAUAUGAUUACGGAUUUUGAGGUGGGGUCCACUUAUUUUUUCAUUCCUGAUUGCAAGUAAACGUAGGGGAAGUUAGGAAUGGAAAUCAUUCUCUUUCCUCCCAUACCCAUUACUGAUAUGUAAACAUGCCCUAAGAGUGAGUUUUUGAUUUAAUACUUUGUACUAGAGAUGGAAAAAAUGUACAUAAUUCUUUUUUCUUUAUAUUGAGCGUGUGUUUAGUUAGGCGUGGGCGGAACUUGGGGUGUGUAAUGUGAGCAAUUGCACAGAGGUCUAAUUUUAGAAGGGCCCCAAAUUAUAAUAUUGUUCAACAUAUAUAUAUAUAUAUUAUAUCAUAUAUUUGCUUUUAGUUAAUAUAUUCACAUCCAAAUAAAAACGUAUACUCGCUAUAUCAAUUCAUUUAUCUUAUAUUCCCAUAUAAUAUGUAACGACUCAUUCUAAUUUUUUUAUUGAUUUACUUAAAUCCCUAUUCAACCCUUAGGGACGAAACGUGACUAAGUAGGGCCUCGGUUAACCCUUCACCCAACCCUCCCCAUUUUACAAGCUUUCAAAUGUCAUGGUUUCGCUUUUUCAAUCUCAUAUUGUUGCUAUAUGAUGUACUGUGAACAAAUAAAGGGUGUAUUUUAGUUUAGUACUACGAAUAGUACACGUAUUUUGAGUUUUAAUAAUUUGGUACCUUAACAUUUUCAAAUUUUGCUUCAAUUCAACUUGUUAUACUCAAAAUGUCAAUAAGGCACACCCUCAAAAGCCCAAAGCAGACUAGGCCUAGCUCACUUAGGAAGUGACUGGCCCUCUCCAAAAACCCUAAAUCGGCUUCCCCUAAGAUUGCCUAGGCUCGAUUGAGACAAGGCAAGGUCACCCAAGCCCAUGCAACGACCAGGCACUAAGGCCUCACGCACCAAUCCUGAAGGGAAUAUGGUGGGAAUGGUGUUGUGUAGAAAUUUCUAAAAACUCUACAACCAAACUUUGAGAGUAUAAAUCACCUAGCAAGCCAUAUCUAAUAUGAAAUCAAAGUAAGAGCAGAAGCAUUAAAUAAACUAGGGAUUCAUGCAAGUCUCAUUUGGUCCCAAUCUUUAUAAGUAUAUGAAAGUGUGCACGAAAGACUCUCUAAAUCCUAUUUGAAAGAAAGAAAAGAUGUUCAUACCCUUGGAGUGAAUCUUGAAACCAAGAAUGGUGUUCAAUUAGAAGGAGUGAUCCCUUUAUUGUUGGCUCUCCCUUUGAUGUUGAUUCUCCACCUUGUAGCUCUCCAAAUAGGUACAAAGAUAUGCACCUCCCUAAAGCUCUUCACCAAUGAUUGAAUGGGAUGAGAGAAUGUGUAGAUAACAAGUGAAGAGUGGUGCUAGCACCCUCACUUGAUGUGAUAGAUUGAAGGGGUUAGGGAGAGAGAGCUUGAUGUUUUCUUUCUCCCAAUUUCACCAACUUGAAAAACCCUAGGAUGAUAGAAUUUCAUAUCUACACAUUUAUAGGAUAAAAAAUGUCACAAGAGUGACAAAAAUGCCCCUAAACCCUAGUGUAGCCACAUCCCCCUCCCCCAAAGCCCAUUUUCUCUUUUUUGUGUGUCAUCUUUUGCUAUCUUGGUCUAACACAUUAAUCCUAUAAUGUGUCACAUGUGUGCCUAAAUCCAUAUGGUCAAAUCCCUUUUGAAUUUCCAAGUCAUAUGGGACCUUUAAUUAAAGUUUCAUAACUUUAAUUGAAUAAUUAAAUUAAUCUAAUUUUUUUUUAUUUCUCUAGUGACUUGACUAAUUUCAUCACUCACUUGUCUAACGAGUGUUAGUCCCAGUCAUCCUUAGUUGACCGUGUCAAGUGUCGAGUCAACCGUAUGACCUUUGACUUUUGACUUUAACCUUUGAAUUUCACAUUGACUUUGACCAAGUCACAAAAUCAUUCAUUCUCUUCAUAAUUUUCCAAUCGAUUCCUUUUCUGUGUGCGAUCUUAUGGGUUCUAAUUAGCGAGGCAGUGGGUAUGAAUUAUUUACUCUGAAUCUAGUGUAAAUUGUAUCCCUCCUUAUAAUUCUCCCUAUUGGCAAAGGCUAAUUAUAAUUAGUCCUUAUAAGGCUUUCACAAGCCAUGAGUGACACCUAGCAGUAUGUCAUGGCUACCCAAGCUAAAAAGAAUUCAUUUAGAGAACCUAGUCAUUUUGCGAUUACAAUGCAAUUCGAUCCUUCUCUAAUUCAAUACUCUAUGUCAUAUUCUCGGGAUAUGGUAAACUUGUGUCAAAAUCCCUAAUAUAACAUCUCUAGAUUAUAUGAUUCAAUUUGAUGAAAUUGCAAACGUUCUUAUUUCAAUUUCCAUCCAAUACUUUGGCCAAAGAUUCACGAAUCAUAUCUUUAGAGUAUUCUCUCUUCUUACUAAGAGCAGAGGAUUCUUGUUGUAUAUUCACCUGUCGCUGCGUACAUGCUAAGAAUCCUGAGGAACACCUUUAGGUCAAAUAAUUUUGAUACGACCGUAUAGUGUUAUUAAAGAGGAACAACAUAUAUACAAGACAACUGUGAUGUCUCAGGUCUAAGGAUUAAUUUGCAUUAUCACAACUUAGAAUUCUUUGUUUGACACUUGUGAGUAAGACUUCCAUACAAGAAUUCUAUAGUUGAUCACAUUCAGCAGACUCCAUCUUCUAUAGAGCACCUACACAUCUGUCUCAGUGUCUUUACACGAAUGACAUACUCUCUUACUGCAUCUCCAAAGAUUUAUCAUUAUAAAAAAAAUUAAAAAAAAAUUUGCCACUCAAUUACUGUUAUCAUACAGAUUUUGAUCUAAUUAAAUUAGCAUGAAAGGGAUUCAUCCCAGUGAGAUUCUGGAUCGACAAGGGAAUCCUAAACACAAGAAAUGUUAUGCAGUUGUCAUGUAAACACGCCCAACACUGUGUUGUUGGGAGAAAGGGGGAAAAUGAAGGAAUAAAUAUCAAUUACUCACGAAUUUGUUUUUAAAGGUAAUGCCUCUCUCCAUUUUUUGGUCGUGAGAGGUAAUGCCUCUCUUUGGUGCACAGAGGAAUGCGUUAUAUACAUGGGCUUGCAGCCCGGGCUUCUAUGGGCAGGCCGGGUUAGGUUUUAUGGACUCAAACAAGGCAGGUCAAGCUUUAAACACCCUAAUUCAAGCCGGCCAUUAAAUAACAGGUUGGGCUUUUUCUCAAUGGGUCGGGUGGGCCUCUAUUGGCCCAUGAGCUCGAGGGCUAAAUGGUAAUCCCAAAUUUAAUAUACAUAAGACAUGUGAUUUGAACUCUCCAACUUACUGCAAUGCUUUUUUAAAAUAAAAAUAAAAUAUUUCCACAUGUCUGGUACACCAGCUGGUGUACCCGGAACAUACAAAAAUUUCUCCUAUUUUUUAAGUCUUUAUUCAUAGAUUAUCUUUGCAAAAAAUUAGACAAAUUGAAAACCAUUAAGUGAUCUAAUUGUGACCAACGAAAUAGACUAAUAAUACCGUGCUCCAAGAAAAUACUAAAAUAACAGUCAUCUUUUUGAGAUUCAAGUGAUUUUUUUUUCCAGAGUUAACUUUAAAGAAAUAUCUAAAAACUAGACGAUUCUUAUCACUGAAAAACAAUACAUGUAAAUAGUGCAAUCCACUCACUAAUUUAAGAAGUUGGGCUUGUGCUUGAAUUCUACAUGCUUUAGCUACUCCCGCCACUCCCGCAAGUCACGAAUUUGGGUGAUUCUUAGGCCCACGUUUGAGUCCACACUCUCUUGUCAUGUUGACCAUAAAUAAUUGUUGUUUUCAUAAUAGAACUAGCUGUAAGCAAACAGAUCACGUCACCACUUUUAGAUUUCAAAAGUAUGUUGGGCAAACGUUGAUUCAUUCAUGGUUGAUGUUCCUGAUUUGUCAUUUAUAUUAGUUUUGCGGCUAAAAAUGGAGAAGGGUACAGAAGAGAUGUUGGUAUAUCAUUGGCCUGGACCAACAUUUGCAUAAUUGAACUCAACCCACCUUUAUAUAUGUUCAAAAUUUAAAACUUUUUCUUUUCGAAGUUAGGAUAGGGGAGAGAAUUUCUCUCACACACUGCCAAAGUAUCAUGAAAGUUCAAAUAUAAGACCACUAGUCGGCAAGUAAAAACUUUUUUCUACUGGACUAGACCCCGUUGACAUUCAAAGCCUUUUUAUAGCAUCCUACAAAAUGGCUAUGGUUAAACUCGAAUGUGUAACCCUAACUAACACAACUAGUAAAAGAAGCAUGAUCCUUAAAAAUAUGUAUUAUAAUGGGUGAAGCAAUGAAGGGCCCAGCCAAAAGAGGAUCUGGUUCCUCACUAUUUGUCGUGGAAGAGGCAAAAGGGCCUGUUAGAAUCUGGACCACAGAAAUGAAGUCCAUCUCAAGCAUAUCAAACUCAAUGAAAAAAUACAUAAGAUUAGAUUAGAUUUUUCUUCUGAACAAAAAGAACAGAUUUUCUCAAUUCUCCAAAGUAAAAAGGUUCAAAAAGAAACUAUGAACCCAAAUAACUUUUCAUGAGCUAUAUACAUUUCCUCAAAGAAUUUCUUUCCGCAAUAAUAUGCCUCAAAUCUUCCCCUCUGAUUUAUGGGGUCCAUUAUAUUUUAGACAUGCAUUGGAUCUAAUGAAUUAAGGUCUAGUCAGUGAAAUCAUUGAAAGGGAAUAAAACAUUAGUUGCUCUACAGCCUACUUGAUUCCCUAGUAUUUCUUUUCUUUUUUCAUUGAUACAAGAAAGGUCAAAUGGGAGCUUAGGGUUUAAGUAAAUGUACUCAACUACUGGAUUUGCGAGUAUUUAUCGGUCACUUUUUCUUUAAAUAAAUAAUGAACCCGAAUCAUCAUCUUCUUAUUUAUAAACUUUUUUUUAUAGUCAAAAUGAUCUCAAUUGGUUAAGCUUUUUACCUCUACCUAUGUGGACAGAGAUUACGCUAACAAAACCAUAAGAAAUUUACAAUUCUAUAAGAAUUUAUACAAUUUCAUUUAAAAAUUGAAAAAAGUUGUUCAAGUUGCGAAAGCUAAGUUAUUCAUUUUUUUAUAUAUUAGUGGUCUCAAAUAAUGAUGAACCUAAUGCUUAAUGUGGAGUUAAUUAAAUUCGAAUAAGGUUAAAUUUUCACCACUAUUAGGUGGGAAAAUGAUUUAAGAAUUAUGAAGAAUUCAUAUUUUUAUUAUUUCUUAUAUCUUUAAAAAAAAAAAUCCACCCUUUACUGCAAAAUUACAAGUGAUGGGUCCUGAAUCAAGGCAUUUGGUAUCAUAUGUCAACGUACCCAUAAUUCAAUAGUAAAAGUAUUUGCAUGCAGGUUAGUGGUCCCAACCCCAAGACACAUCUCCUUCUCCCUCAAAUUUUGGAAAAUAUUUUGCUCACAAUUUUAACUCAAGAUGUAUUUUCAUCAUCCUUCUUAAUACUUGACACGUGUCCAUAUAUAUAACUAUGGUCCUCUUUCUUUUGUAUUUGUGGAAUCAUGGUUAUACCUAUAAACACGUGUCAAGUAUUCAGAAGGGUAAUGAUAGUACAUCUCUGAUUAAAGAUGUGAACAAAAAUACUCCCAAACUUUGACAACAACAAAAAAAACAUUUGGUAUCAUGUGGAUAAGAUUUUGUUCCUUUUUUUUUUUCCUUGGACGGGUCUAUUUUGACAACUCUUUUUUCUUUGAUGGAAUGGAAUAAUUAUAAUGUCAUAUCUGCAAAAGAAAAAUAAUUACUCAUUGGACCAAAAAAAAACACUAACACUAAAAUAAAGUCUAAUCUUAUGGAAAACCUUUUUAAAACCACUAAAAUAAAACCUAGGUAAACAGAAAGAAAAAAAAAAUGCACCAAGUUAGACAAUGCCACCUGUCCAACCACCCACCCACUAAACUAAUGAAAGCAAUCAAUCACUGUUAAUGUCCCAUGAACAAUGCAUCCCCCACUUAAAGAAUAAAGCAAGUAAUGCUAAACGACAUGUCGGAUGAGUGGCAAAAUGUGCAAAAGGUUGAAAACCGCGUGACGUGAUAUGAAUGAAUCACGUGCUUCCUUGAAUUUCAAGAGAUACGACACAACAAGACCCACACUCAGACCAAAAAAAAAAAAACAAGACCCACACCUAAAAAUAAAAACCUGAUUGGUGCUGCUCAGUGCUCCACACACUAUGCUUUCAACCCUCUAAAAUCAGUUAUAGGGCCCUCGGGUCUCUCUCCACUCGCUCUUGCGCGCAGCUCACGUGCUCGUAAGUUUGGGGCUACGAUGCCGUAGGCAUUUCCGGUUUGGUUUGAUAGUACAGUUUUAUACGCAAGGUCUCUUUUGUUUUAGUUUAUUUCACCCGAGCGUUGGGGGAUCCAAACACGUUGUUUGUGCUGAGAAAAACUUACAUACUACCGGUUAUAUACACUUUAGUUUCUAUAUUAUAAAUUACGUGAUUUUAUGCUAUAGAAACUUGUUAAAAAUGUUUGUUGCACAUUGAUAAGUUAAGGGAUCUAACUUGAGUUUAUAAGAAAUUGGGCUACUCUUCCCAUUAGGCAUUUUCUAACACAUUUAGUUCUAAACUCAAAUUUCCCCCCUUCAAGAAGUAACUAUUUGGGUUUUGCCCAGACUUAAACCGUUUUUUCCCCAACCCUGCAUACUCAAAUUUUAAGUCCGCAAUUUUAUUAAAUAAUUUAAGUCUAAUUUUUCUUCAUUUAAUCUUUUUAAAUAACUUCAUAAUUUAUUUUUUAAACAAUUUGACCCAAAAAAUUAAAAUUCCAUAAAUAUAAUUUUAUUUGAGAAAUAGGUGGGCAUUUAUAGAGUUUAGAGUGAGUUUUGGGAUUAGAUAAUUUUUUUGAAGGACCUUUCUUAUUGAGAUGAGCGAUAGUAUACUAAACUCACACACACUACACGGAUGGUAGGACUGUCCGUGAGGAUCCCACCGGAGCGCCUUCUACUUCUAAUAGGCCAUGAACUACUCGAACCCAAGACCUUACCUAGGGAAGUAAUUACUCCAAACCACUACACUAACCCUAAACUUAUGUGCAAUAAGAUAAGUUAAAUUGAGUUGUUUGAAAAUGGAUUUCGUGCCUCUAUGUUUAAAGGUUGUGCAUUUACAUGCAUUUUGCAACAUCUAGUCCAUUCAAAUAAUCUAACGGUUUAAAACAUGACAUCAUCAACAUAAAUGUUUAACAUUAUAUAAUAGUAGCCUCUCUGCACGCGCUUCUGCGCCUGUGAGAGGCUUUUUUUGAAAAAAAUUAAAAUUUAUUUAGAAUUAAAAAAGAUAAUGGGUAGUUGUGUUCCAUAAAAAUAGGAUCCAUUAUCUGAUUUUUCUUUUAAUUUUAAUUUUUUUAAAUAUGAAAAAGUAUGAAUUUACCAUAUUAUCCUCAUUUAAUUAAUAACUAGCCUCUCCGCACACGUGUGAAUUUACCAUAUUAUCAUCAUUUAAUUAAUAAUUUUAAUUCUUAAUGCUUGGAUUAACUAAGGGCAUUUUAUGGUAUUUUGAAUGUUUCACCAUUCUCUGCCUUUUGCUUUACGAGUAAUGCUACACUUACCACAUUUGUAUAUCACAUUCUCAUACCACCUUAUGUGGCAGAUGAAGUGGACAACCACAUCAAUUAAAAAGUGUCAAUAAAUCAUAAAAGAAAAGAAAAUGUUAAAUUAAUUUAAUUGAUGUGGUUGUCCACCUCAUCUGCCAUAUAAGGUGGUAUGAGAAUGUGGUAUACAAAAUGUGGUAAGAGUAGCAUUAUUCUUUGCGCUUUAUAUAUAUAUAUAUAUAUAUAUUUCAAUUCUUAAUGUUUGCAUUAACCAAAGGCAUUUUCUGGUAUUUUGAAUGUUUUACCAUUCUCUGCCUUUUACUUUAUAUAUAUAGAUGUUUUAAAUUAAAAACUGUUUAAAAUUAACACUUGUUUAAUUGUUAAAGUAAAAAUAAUAAAUACUAAAAACCCAUUGUUUUCCGGCAAAACGUGAAGCAAGGGGUAGGGGGCUGUGAGGUAUCGGGUAGGAGGAAGUCAGUCAACAAAACAUUUUACAUAUCAUCACAGCCAUUGAUGUGGUGAAAUUGCUUGAAUUUUCCUUCAUAUCUAUAUAUGCAAAUGGGCUUGAGAAGCCAUUAAUUGAACUCAUGAUUUUCCUCCAACUUUGUUUAUGCAGAAGCAUAUCCUCCACAAUAUAAUUUAGGUGAAAAAUGGCACAAUUUUGGAAGGCGUUGGGGUGGGAAGGGAUGGAGUGAGAUAGAGAGAUGGCAUUGAGAUGGCAUUUGAUAUGGCGGCUUAGGUGGUGUUGGGGUGGUUAAGGAUGGUCAUGGCGGGGAUGGGGUGGGGCAGGGGAGUCCACUUCCUGGAAUUUUUCACUCUGGAUUUUUUUGAUUUUUUAAAUCUCAUUUUUUUAAUUUUAAAUUCUAUUUUCUAUUUUUGAAGUUAUUAAAUUUUAUUUUAAAUUUUGUUAAAAUUUAUUAAUAUGUCAUAUCGUAAACCGUUAAAUUAUUCAAAUAGACUAGAUGUUACGAAAUUACGAAUAAAUGCAUAACCUCUAAAUAUAGAGGCUUGGAAUCUGUUCUAAGACCAGGACUGCAAGUUUGCAACCACCACCCUACUUAUCAUAGUCCCAUAACUUCAUGCAUGCAUGCAUUAUGGUAACUUAUGACCCAAAUCAGCAAGAAAGUGAGCUGCAAAGUCAGCUUUACAAAAUACACGACCAAAGCAGCAUGCUCCUUACUUGCUUACAACUUGAAUUUUUUGUUUUGUAAUCCAAAACAAAGCAGCAUGCUAACUCUUUUUUUUUUUUUUUUUUUCUUUUCUUAGUGAUUAAGCUCAAUUACCGUAUAAAGUUAUCAUAUCAAUCUUUUUAGGAUUAUAUUUUGAGAUAUUUAGUGAUAUACCCAUUUCUAGCACUAAUAUUAUAAAUAAACCCUACACAAUUGAAUUCCUAUAAACAAACCCAAAAAAAACCCAAAAAAUGAUAGCUGGCCUUAUUGAAUUUAAUAUUAAUUAUUAAAUUACUUUGAUGCCCUAUUGAGUGCUUUGGGUAUUUUUAUGAGAUUUUGGGGUUGGGCUUGUUUUAAGAAAUUGAUGGCAGUUUUGUAAUUUAUAAGAAGUUAAAAGCUUUUUUGUUAUGUUGUAAAUGGACUUUGGGUGUGUUUCUAAAGUCCAUUUUAUAUAGGGUAUUUUUAUAAUUUUGGCCCCCAUAUUGGGUAUAAUAGUGAAUCUCCCUUAUAUUUUCCGUAACUUGCUUUGGCUUACUUUUCAAAUGUAACAUAGUCAUGUGAAAUGAAAUACAACAAUUUUAUUAUUGAAAGCUAAAACGAAUACAUAGGGCUGGCCAUAAAAAACCGAAGACAUUGAUUUUUUUUUUUAAUUUGAUCGAAAAUAAUUAAAUUUCAUUAACCAAAAUCAUUGGUUACAAUAAGGUCAUCAAGAAUACAAUUCAUUAGCAACAUAGGGUCUUCUUCUAGCCAAUAAUAAGGACCUUAUUCAUGUAAAGCAAAACGAGAAAUAGCAUAAAUCACUUUGUUACACUCCCUAGGACGAAAUUGGACUUCCUUUAAAGAAAACCGCAUGAGCAAGUCUCUCACAUCAUCCACAAUGUUGCAGAUAGUAGCCCAAACAGUCUCCCAUGAAUUAAUCAUCAUAACAGUCUUAAAAGAGUCAGUUUCUAUGAGGAAAGGGAAAAAAACCAGCAACUGCAGCAAAUAAAACUCCUCUAUAGAUAAAUUACAAUUUUGUAGCUAGAAUGGAAACCCUACGAGGGCUUUGCAUGGCUAGGGCACCCAUAAAAACUCCAGAAUCAUUACGAACAACUGCACCUACACUACGCAAGCCUGUUGCAUUGUCAGUAGCUCCAUCAACAUUGAGCUUAUAGAAACCUUCAGGGGGACAACUCCAAAUCUCAUUCUAAUUAACCCUACAAGCACGAACAACGCCUCUAUCAAUAUAUUUCUUACUUAUAAUAUUAUGAAGCGAAAGCCCAUAAAUAUAUGAAGCCGAAGUAUCAACCUAAUAUAAAGCCAACAUUGCAAUCACCAUUCUAAUUUCUAAAUUGCUGACAUGAGCAUCUACAAUAGUCUUUUUAAAGGCUUUUAAAUAAUAGAUAUUUAGUUAUAUACUAAUUCUUAGCACUAAUGAUAUAGGUAAAUCCUACACCAUUUAAUUUAUAUAAACAACCCAAAAAAAAAACUCAAAAAAUGACAGAUAACCCUAUUGAAUUUAAUUUUAAUUAUUAAAUUACUUUGAUGCUCUAUUGAGUGUUUUGGUUUUAUUUUUUUUAAUGAGGUUUUGAGGUUGGACUUGUAAUUUAUAGGAAGUUCGAAGCCUCUUUGUUAUGUUGUAAAUGAGCUUUGGGUGUGUUUCUAAAAUUACAUUUCAUGUAUAAUUUUUUUAUUAUAUAAUUUGGGCCUCUAUAUUAAAUAUAAUAAUGAAUCUUCAUUUGAAUAAUUGAUUUGGUGAGUCACCUAGGCAAAAAAAAGUUUCGAUAGAAGUUCAAGUCUAUGACCACCUUCUCAGUCUACAAAUUUUUGGUCACCACUUUCUAACUCUUCAACUUAGCUUUCUAUAUUAAAAAAAUUAAACAUAUUGUUAUGGGAGAAGAUAGAGAACUAUGAAGAGUUCUUUGGAAGGCAAACUUUUUAAAGUAAUUAACGAACUUUAUUCUUCAAAUUUCCACAUAAAUCAAUAAAAUACAAUUUUGAAAAAUGAAAUUUGUUUCUUCUCUUGAUGCUACAUUCAACAUUCAUAUAAAUAACAAACUAAUAAUCAGAUUAUAUUAAAAGUUAAUGUGUGUGAUAAAGAAUAAUAAUAAAUGGUGAUAACCAAUAAUAAAAUAUCAAGUAGAAAAAAAUAAUGAAAUUAAUAUAGGUCGUUUGAUUCGGGUUUUUUUUUUAAAUAAACCAAACCAAACCACACCACUCAAAUAAAUCUAAUUUGACCUAUUUAUAAAGUUAGCAAAUAAAUUAAGAAAAAAGUUAAAAUGAAGACAUUCACCAAAUAAUAUGAAAGAAUACUUGUAUAAAAUUAGAUAUUUUAUUCUUUUAUAUUAUUUGGUGAAAUUGGGCCCAAGCCCAAUUGUUCUUUUAUUUAUUUUUAUAGAAAUUUUGAGAUUACAUUCAUAAUGUUGGGAUUAAAAUUUUGAUAUAAAUAAAUAAAUAUAUAUAUUUUACUUUAACGUUUGCUUCCAAUUUAUUAUAACUUAUAAUUAUAGUUUUCUUAGAGAUUCUUUUAUUUUUAUAUAACCAGUGUGAAAUUAUUAUUAUGUAAACGUGUUGUCAUUUGUCUUUAUUGAAUUUUUUCAUGCGUUUGACAGCAAAAUAAUAAUAACAAUAGUAAUGUAAAGGACUCACUAGUGUAGUAGUUUGGGGCAAUUGUUUUCCCAAGAAAGGUCCUGGAUUUUAGUCCUAUCUUGUGUGUGAGCAGUGGUGGAGCCAGGAUUUCACAUUAGAGGGGCCCCUUCACAAAAUUUUAAAAAGUAAUCCAAAUAGGAGAGUUCAAGCGCUAACCGAUUAAUAAGUUAAUGCGAUACUAACUACUCGGUUUAGCCCGCAUCAUAAUAUCAUUUCAUAUUGGUUAAUAAUUUAUCGAUUCAUUACAAUCAUAAUUGUCUUGAAUUUCAUAUUUUAACAUUGUUGAAUAUUAAUCUCAUCGUCUACACUAUUAAAGGUUCAAAAGUUAAUAAUUUAUAUUCCAACAGAGAGAAGAAGUACAAAAAAAGUUCAUAAAUCCCAAUAUUACGGUACCCUACUUAGACAUAUAAAAAAGGAGGGAAAAAAAUUCACAAAGCUUAAGUUAAACAAAAGCGGAAAAGAAAGAGAAAAAAGAAUUAGGAGUUUUUAGUGCAAAUAUCAUAACUCUAACCUAGAAGUUUUAAGGGAAAGUAGAAGAGUGAUUAGUAACUUUUAUGGUUAAUUUGUAGACAAAAAUAACAUAAUAUUUUAUUUAUUUUAGAGUAAAUAUCCCAAAAAUAAUCUAAUAUAUUAUAAUAUUAUAUAUCAUAUAUAAGGAAACUUUUUUGAACCAUUGGAUGUUACAUCCAACGGUGGGUGACCACAGUCUCUUGGACCCCUGUGGUCCAAGAGAUCGGGGAUGUCUGUAUAUAUAAAGCAAAAGGCAAAGAAUGGUAAAACAUUCAAAAUAUCAGAAAAUGUUCUUGGUUAAUACAAACAUUAAUAAUUGAAAUUAUUAAUUAAAUGAGAAUAAUAUGGUAAAUUAGCACAUUUUCAUAUUAAAAAUUAAAAUUAAAAGAAAACUUAAAUAAUAAAUACUAUUUUUAUGAAACACAACAACCAUUAUCUUUUUUUAUAGUCGUGCAAGUUUACUUAAGAUUUAUAAACAACAUUAUCCUAGUAGAAGCGCUCUUGCCAACAAGUGAUCCAAUAUUUUGAGAAACGUAAAUAGAGAUUAUUAUAAAUUAAAUUAAGAGAAAAUGACUAAGUUGAUCCUUCUAUCUUGGGUAUUUUUCCGCUAGGUCCCAUAACUAGAGAGGUGGCAUAAGGGCGGAUAUACACUUGAGUUAGUGGGCUUCAGAUUUUUGUGUGUGUGUAGUUUUAGUUGUUUAAGCUAAAUAUAGGUAAAGUAAAUAAUAGUCUAGCCCUUUAUUUAAAAUAAGCUAAGCUCUUUAUGUAGAAAUAAGCCCACUCUGGAAGCAUAUAGGAAAUAGUAAACAUGCAAUCCAUAACCUAUAUAAAUUUGAUUAGAAGCAAACAUCAGAAUUUUUCUUCUAGCCACCCAAAACAUCAUAUUUGAACCUUCAGAGCCUAGAAUAAAUAGCUCUCUCCCUCUGAAAAAUUGUACCAACCUAUUUUAAGUGGGUUCGCCAAUCUUGAUAAGUUUUUCUUUUUAUUUAUUUAUUCAAUUUCCAAUUUGAAUUGUUGUUGUUAAGUUUUUAUGAUUUAGGGUUUAUGUGAAAAUUUUUGGGGAUUGUUAUAUAUGUUUUAUUUUUGCAACUUAAAUUAUUAAUUAGUAUAUAUGAUUUUUGGUGUCUAGUAUUUCUUGUUAGGAUAUCAUGUCACAUGAUUAUAAUAGACCAACAAAGAGAGGAAAAACUAUUCUUCAAAAAAAGGGGUAACGAUAACAAGGAUAUACAUACACCUUCUGCAUAUAAUGUUGAUACUUCAAUUCCUGAGAAACUUUCUCAACUCGGAUCUCAAGUAGUUGAACAAUGUGUUUGAUUUGAUAUUUGUUUAUAUUUGGUAUUUCUUUGUGUGAUAUUUGCUCGUAAUGUGACCUUCUUUGAUUUAUAAAAUUUAUUCACAUUUUUGUUUCAAGAGGAAAAAUAAAAAAAGGCUUAUAAUAUAUCUCCUGUAAAAAUAAAAAUAAAAAAUAGCUUAGUCCUAUAAAAAUUCCUGGAUUCGCCAUUGGUAGCACAUCAAACCAAAAACCAAGAUCCUCCUAACUAAGACCAUAACAUGCAAUACGAUCGACAACUCCAUUAGCAGUCCGAGAAACAUGGUGAACAGAAUAAGACGACACUGAGUUGAAAAGACGACGAAUAUCCUUCACUAAACCCCCUUUUGCAGCAAAACAAACAUCGUACUUACUUCUAGUUGUAGAUUAAGUAAACUAAAAAUCUCUAAUUAUCAAAAUUGAAACUAUAUAUAGGUCUUCAAGUGAAAAAUCAAGCAAAUUCUAAGGACCCGAAAUGUAAGUUGGACCUAUUUUAAUGUUUUAAUGUACAUUGUACGAAGUUGUGUACAUCAUCGUUGUCGUGUACGCUAUACACGGCUGCUAUAGAACGAGGCGGAUGAAAUGAAAGUAGGCGUGACAAAUGUGACGACAAUUAUUAGAGGCAUGAACGAAUCUGCCGUCCACAAAUAAUCGAAAUACAAUAAAAUAAAAUAGUAAGAGCAAGACACGAUUGGCUUGUUUAAGGCUGAACAAAAGCAAACCCUACAGCUUUCCCCACUUGCUUAAAUUGUUUUCACGUUUAUUUCCUGCGACUUUUUUGUCCUCCUCCUCAUGGGACCCUGAAAAACUGACAUCCCAUUAUGUGCAUGAACAUUUCUAUUUUUAUUUUUAUUUUUAAAUUGGUGAAAGCGAUUUUGGUCAUAGAGCAUUAAAAAUCUUUACAUGGAUUGGAGAUUGUAAAGGUUCAAUAUCUUUAAUGUACCGAAAAGAAAGUCGACAUAGUAGAAAAUAAUAAUAACUGAUUAUAAAUAAAAUUAGAAAUUACGAUGUCAAGUGUUGAAAAAAAAGAUAGCGAUUUUUAUGCUCUAAGUUUAGUAUGUGUACGUAGAAAAAUGACAAAAUAUUUAGUUUGGAGUGCAAAGGUUAAGCUGAUAGUGCCAAAAUCGUUACCCGAAAAAUCACUUUGGCUUGGUCAUAUUCAUACUAGUCUGCUAACACAAAGAAUGAGAAUUCUUACUUGAAUUUUCUUUGGCUCAUUGAUGGCUUGACUAUUCCCUUGAAUUUUCUUUUACCCCAAAAAUGAAAUAUGAAGUAAUUAUUCUUAUUAUUAUUAUUAUUAUUAUUAUUUUGAGGUUAUUUCCUAUUGAAAGGGGCGAUAGACUAAGAUUCGAACCCAGGACUUUGCCUGAGGGAGUAAAAUUCCAAAUCACUACACUAAUGGGUCAUUUGCAAUAUGAAGUAAUUUUUAUAGAGGAAGAAGGAGGGGUUUUUCUGAAAAGGGUGGUGGUGGU
rnacentral:lncRNA from 1 species